rnacentral:misc_RNA from 1 species
GAAAUGCGAUAAGUAAUGUGAAUUGCAGAAUUCAGUGAAUCAUCGAAUCUUUGAACGCACAUUGCGCCCGCCAGUAUUCUGGCGGGCAUGCCUGUUCGAGCGUCAUUUCAACCAUCAAGCCCCCGGGCUUGUGUUGGGGACCUGCGGCUGCCGCAGGCCCCGAAAACCAGUGGCGGGCUCGCUGUCACACCGGGCGUAGUAGCUAACACCUCGCAACUGGAACGCGGCGCGGCCAAGCCGUUAAACCCCCCAACUUCUGAAUGUUGACCUCGGAUCAGGUAGGAAUACCCGCUGAACUUAAGC